UACGAAGGGGGCUAGCGUUGCUCGGAAUCACUGGGCGUAAAGGGUGCGUAGGCGGGGCUUUAAGUCAGGGGUGAAAUCCUGGAGCUCAACUCCAGAACUGCCUUUGAUACUGAGGAUCUUGAGUUCGGGAGAGGUGAGUGGAACUGCGAGUGUAGAGGUGAAAUUCGUAGAUAUUCGCAAGAACACCAGUGGCGAAGGCGGCUCACUGGCCCGAUACUGACGCUGAGGCGCGAAAGCGUGGGGAGCAAACAGG
rnacentral:rRNA from 1 species